rnacentral:lncRNA from 1 species
GGUUACAGUCAAUUUUUCAAUAUAUAAAAUAAGUCCACAAGUCAGUGAUUUAGUUACAAUCCAUUCCACAAUUUCCAAAGCUGAGUAGCUUUUCGCUUUAAAAUGUUCUGGUGUCAGAGCCAGGUGCAAUGUAACGUACAACAAAUAUCCAAGUCGUAUCUUCAAGUACUGUGCAUCUUUCUUACUUCUUACUUUUCAUGUCUUCCACGUAGAAUUUUCAGAAUACAUAACGAUGACAUAACGAUGAUAUAACUGUAGACGUGUUAACUUUACUUUGUACGUGCGAUUUCGUUGAAGUGGUCGUGUCAGUUUAUGGUCAAGUAAUUGGUAGCUGAAUUGAAUUGUUUCAUUUUCGAAUAUUCAUUGACAUAAGAUGAUAUUAUUCAACAUAAUUUAUCCACCAAUAUUGUGAGGCGCAAGCAAAUGGAAGGCAUAUUAUUGUAUACGUCUGAUAUCU